UACGUAGGGGGCAAGCGUUGUCCGGAAUCAUUGGGCGUAAAGAGCGUGUAGGCGGCCCGAUAAGUCCGCUGUGAAAGUCCAGGGCUCAACCCUGGGAUGCCGGUGGAUACUGUCGGGCUCGAGUCCGGAAGAGGAGUGUGGAAUUCCGUGGUGAUGAGCGGUGAAAUGCGCAGAUAUCAGGAGGAACACCAAUGGCGAAGGCAGCACUCUGGGACGUGACUGACGCUGAGACGCGAAAGCGUGGGGAGCAAACAGG
rnacentral:rRNA from 1 species